rnacentral:piRNA from 1 species
CCACAAGUGAAGACGACCUUAGCAGAUGG